rnacentral:rRNA from 1 species
UACGUAGGGUGCGAGCGUUAAUCGGAAUUACUGGGCGUAAAGCGUGCGCAGGCGGCUUUUUAAGCCAGACGUGAAAUCCCCGGGCUUAACCUGGGAAUGGCGUUUGGAACUGGAAGGCUAGAGUGUGUCAGAGGGGGGUAGAAUUCCACGUGUAGCAGUGAAAUGCGUAGAUAUGUGGAGGAAUACCGAUGGCGAAGGCAGCCCCCUGGGUCGAUACUGACGCUCAUGCACGAAAGCGUGGGGAGCAAACAGG